rnacentral:hammerhead_ribozyme from 1 species
CGAUUGCUGAGGAGUCCCACAAUAGGACGAAACGGCCAUCCAGUAC